CAUGUGUCAUGGUUACUGGAAGUUUAACACCUGUAUCACAAACCACAUCACCGAUGGAACCCAACACUUGUAUUAGAAACAACAAUUAUCACUUCACUUCCUCACUCUGCUUGUAACUGCAAACAAAAUGAAAAAGAAACUGUGGACAGGGAAAAGGAACAGCAAGCUUUGGGAAGAGAAGGAACAAAACGGAUACGCUAUGCUUGAAGUUUUCAUCUCCAGAAGAGCCGUUGCGGUUCUUGUGGAUCCCCUGCAGCUCGUAUCAGAAGUAUAACUGGAGUAAGAAGGCUACUCCGAGGAAGACCACAGGAACAGGAAGGAUGAGGUAUCUGAAGUAUGUUACCAUAAGACUCGAGACCAAUUUUAGAGAAGGUACUCUGACGGCUCCAAGGAAGAAGGGUGCCACGCCAUCUUCUUAAAAUCUACGUUGAAUUCUGCUUCUUCCCUGUUUUUGUAUCAGGAUUUUGCCUCUUUCCUGCUUAGUUCAGUUUUCAUGUCUGAUAGAUGUAAAAUAUAUAUAUAUAUAUAUUACGCAAGCUAUGACCGUAUCAGGUCCAAAUUUGCUCAA